CGCGCCCCCCCCCCUUCCCCUCUUUCCCUUUUCCCUUUUCCCGCCUCCUUCCCUCAUUUCCCCCCCCUUCAUCCCAUGGACAUGGCACGGCCACCUUAAAGCGCCGCGCCGCCCCCUCCUCCCCCGAUCGCCGGGGCCGCUAUGAGUCAGGUGUGAAGCCCCCGCCGGGAGGAGGUCGUUCCCCUCGCUGGCUGCAGCCCUGACGCUGGGAUUUUCCUUUUUUUGGCUUUUUUUUUUUUUUUUUUUCGGCCCCACCACCUCCCUCCUUCCCUCCCUCGCUCCCUCCCUCCAGGAAUCCAGCGCUGCACCGGAGCCAGAAGAGAGGGAGCAAAACCCAGCCCAGGCCGAGAGCCGCGUCCAGAAACCAAACCCGCCCUUCGCGUCGCAAAGGAGAAUUUUUUUUUUUUAAUCAUUAUUAUUAUUAUUUUUAUUUUUAAUACCCCUGACCCGAGCACGGUGGCGGCAGCAGGGAGGCUGUCCCGGUUAUUUAUUCUCUCCCCGCAGAGCUGUCCCUCCGGCUCACCAUGAUGUUCCGAGACCAGGUUGGCGUGCUGGCCGGGUGGUUCAAGGGCUGGAACGAGUGCGAGCAGACUGUUGCGCUGCUCUCCCUGCUCAAACGCGUCAGCCGGACCCAGGCUCGCUUCCUCCAGCUCUGCCUCGAGCAUUCCCUGGCAGACUGCACCGAGCUCCACAUCCUCGAAGGGGAGGCCAACAACCCCGGAAUCAUUAACCAGUGGCAACAGGAAUCCAAGGACAAAGUGAUCUCCCUCCUGCUGACCCACCUGCCUUUACUGAAGCCGGGCAACAUCGAGGCGAAAGUCGAGUACAUGAAACUCUUGCCCAAAAUCCUGGCGCACUCCAUCGAGCACAACCAGCACAUCGAGGAGAGCAGGCAGCUGCUCUCCUACGCCUUGAUCCACCCUGCCACCUCCCUGGAGGACAGGAGCGCCCUGGCCAUGUGGCUCAACCACCUGGAGGACCGCACGUCGUCUUCAUCAUCGUCGUCGUCGUCGGGGGGCUUUGGCGGGCAGGGCCGGGGCCGCUCGGACUCGCUGGACUACGGGCAGGCUCACUACUAUCACCAAAGACAGAACUCGGAUGACAAACUCAACAACGGCUGGCAGAACUCCAGGGACUCCGGCAUCAGCGUCAGCGCCUCCAGCUGGCAGGACAAAAACCUGGCCUGUGAGAACGGCCACCUGCCCCUCUACUCCUCCUCCUCCGUCCCCACCACCAUCAACACCAUCGGCACUAGCACAAGCACCAUUCUCUCAGGCCAGACACACCACAGCCCUUUGAAACGCUCUGUGUCCCUUACCCCACCCAUGAAUGUGCCAAACCAACCUCUAGGACAUGGAUGGAUGUCUCAUGAGGACUUACGAGCUAGAGGACCCCAGUGCAUCCCUUCUGAUCAUGCCCCCCUGUCUCCACAAAGCAGUGUAGCCUCUUCGGGAAGUGGUGGGAGUGAACAUUUAGAAGAUCAGCCUUCUGCUCGUAACACAUUCCAGGAGGAAGGGAGUGGGAUGAAAGAUGUCCCAGCCUGGCUGAAGAGCCUCAGGCUGCACAAGUACGCCGCCCUCUUCUCCCAGAUGACCUACGAGGAGAUGAUGGCCCUCACCGAGUGCCAGCUCGAGGCACAAAACGUUACCAAAGGCGCAAGACACAAAAUUGUCAUCAGUAUCCAAAAGCUAAAAGAAAGACAAAACCUGCUCAAAUCUCUAGAAGGGGACAUCCUGGAAGGCGGCAACUUGCGUGUGCCGCUGCAGGAGCUGCACCAAAUGAUCCUCACCCCCAUCAAAGCCUACUCCUCGCAGAGCUCCAGCACGGAGGAGCACGGCCGGGAGGUGGACUCGCACCACGGGCACCCCCCGUCGCUGCUGGGCUCCGACAGGGACGGCCAGGGCUCGGACUGCAAGGACUCGGCGGCCGCCGGGAUGCAGCAGCACCAUCUGCCGGGCUGCGAGGGCGAGUCGGGAGGGGCCCCUUUGCCCGAGGGUGACCUGCCCGGGCAGUUCACACGAGUGAUGGGCAAAGUCUGCACACAACUUUUAGUUUCCCGACCCGAUGAAGAGAAUAUAAGUUCCUAUUUACAGCUCAUAGACAAAUGUCUAAUCCACGAGGCGUUUACAGAGAUCCAGAAGAAGAGGCUGCUGUCAUGGAAACAGCAGGUGCAGAAACUCUUUCGGUCUUUCCCUCGGAAAUCCCUCCUGGAGCUGUCGGGCUAUCGGCAGCAGAGGAGCCGAGGCUUUGGCCAGUCCAACUCGCUCCCGAGCGCCGGCUCCGCGGGGGCGGGGCUGGCCCGCAGGAACCCCCGGCAGUUCCAGAUCCCCUCCCGCAACCUCCCCACGGCCCGGCUGGGGCUGCUGGGCCCCACGGGGCUGCUGGGCACCCCCCAGCGCAGCCCUGCUGCCAGCCCUGCCAUCCUCAAGCAGGGCAGACAGAACCUGUGGUUUGCCAACCCUGGGGGCAGUAACAGCAUGCCCAGCCGCAGCCACAGCUCGGUGCAGAGGACGCGCUCGCUGCCGGUCCACACGUCCCCGCAGACCAUGCUGAUGUUUCAGCAGCCAGAGUUCCAGGUGCCGGUGACUGAACCUGACAUCAACAACAGGCUGGAGUCCCUGUGCCUGAGCAUGACGGAGCACGCACUCAGCGGUGAGCAUUCCCUCCUCCUGGGGCUCUUCCAGCACGUCCAUGCCUCCUCUGCUGAGCCCCCCAGCCCCUGCCCAAUGCCCCCCAAAAGCUGGGACAGGCUGUGGCUGUGAGAGCAGCAGGGGCUGGAUGCAGGGAUGCUCCCGGGGCUGCUCCCAUGGGAACCUUGGCUUCUCUCGGCGCGGCGGCCGGGGCAGGGGGCGAAGCCGAACGCAGGGAUCGCACCAGCACCAGUGGAGUCUGUGCUAAUUAGCCACUCUUCAGCUUGCUAAUGAUAAUUAGUGUUAGCUCGCUACUCUCGUUAGCUCUCGAUGAAGCCCCUGCCGCCAGCGCGCUCGGAUGGGUCACGGCUUUGGAGCGUUGUGCCCUCCUGCCACCGGAUCCCUCCUCUGGCCAGGGCUGAAUCCCUGCCAGGCUGUGCCAGGGGCUGUGCCAGGGGCUGUGCCAGAGGCUGUGCCGGGCACCGUGCCCUGGUGCUGGCAGGCCUCACACAGCCGGGGGUGCCAGCGGAUAACGGGCACGGGGCGGGAGGAGGAGCGGGGCAAAACCAAGCAGGGAAGAUGGAAAGGCAGCAGCAGCAGCAGAGCAGUGGAGAGCCCGAUGCAGCAGAGCCCCAGAAGCUCCCGGUGUCCAAUGGAGCCCCAGGCACAAGGGAUGGCCCCGGCGAUGGGACGAGCGCGGCCGCCCGGAGUCCCCAGUGAGCAGCUCGGGUCUGCUGCGGAAAUCCUGCCUGGACUGUGACCCGUGGCUGAGGACAGGAGCCCUCGGAGAGGACGAGUGCCACCAGGCUCCCUGCAGAUGCAGCAGCCCUUCCUGGGGAGAGGAACGGGAGAACAAGGACUGUGGGAAGCAGCAGGGCCCUGGCAGCAUCCCUGGCUGGGAACACAAGGACACUUCUGUCACCCGAAGCGUUUCUGCGGCGCGUGCCCAGCCGAGGCUUAGCUGUCUUGUUCCUCUGCAGGAUGGUGUCGACAGAACCUCCACGAUCUAGAAGGCGUCGCCACGGGGACGCUGGGCGGGACAACAACUGCUGCGGGUCCAGCGGCGAGGUCGGGGCUUGAGGGAGCCUCAGCGAUAGCUUGCAUCCUUUCUCCUCUCUCCUCUCCUUUCUCCUCUCUCUAUCUCUCUCCUGUUUUAAUUUUGUGAAUGUGUAGAUUGUCCUUGUGAACAUAUCAUUAGACUUGGAAUUUGUGUUGUCAUUUAUUACAUCCAUGCUAAGGGGGGGGGAAAACGAUGGCAAAAAAAAAUGAAAAAUCUCAGCGACGACGAUGAAGCAGCACGGGGAGGUUGGGCUGGACAUGGAGGAGGAGGAGGAGAGUGCUGACAAUGGAGGGCUCACCGUGGGCAAACCCUGCUCCUGGACAGGAUGCCAAGGAGCACGGAGCACCACGUGUGGGUGUGUGACCAAAAACCCUUUGGGGAGGAUCCCUGCCCUGCCAGGGCUUUGGGGCCGGCUGUCCCUUCUCUCGAGUUCCGCCGCUUUCGGGUGCGGGCUGACCCGGCGAGCCCAGAUCGGAACAGAAAUAAUCAAAUAACCCCAAAAUUUCCUUUCAGUUCAGCCAAGAGAUGUGCAGUGUGGAGGGUCAGGGGGUGCCUCUCCCUGCGCCCCAGUUGGAUUGGGAUGCAGGAUGGAGCGGGGGCAUCUCACCCAGAGGAGGGUCCUGGGGGAGUCUGUGAAUUUGGGAACACUGGGAGACGUUCCUGCAUCUGGCUCCACACAUCUGGCCCAGCCUGCCCAAAUCCAGCUGUAAGGGGCUUUUCCAGCAUGGCCAAUAAUGGAUGAAGGAGCCCCCAAAUAAAACCCAAGUCACAAAGGGCACCAAAAUUCAGCUUCACAGCCUUGUUUUCUUGGCAUUACCCGUGGGGCUGGGCUGCCCCUCACCCACUGCUGCUUUUUAUAACAGAAGCUAAAUUUGGUGUUAAAUUGGUAAAUCUGACCCAGCACUGCUCUGACCUGCAGUGAUGCUCCCCCCAGUCCCAAUGCUGCUCCGAGUCCUUCAAUGGAAUAAUAACAAAUAUAAAAUCAAUUAAUUGAGCUGAUGGGUGGCAGCAAUAUUUCCAAAAUGGGCUGUGAGGAGGACAUGGGCAGCAUUGUGUGCCAGGAUCAGAGGGAGCAGGGCUCAGGGGGAGCCAGAGCAUGGGCAGGGCUGGGAGACGUGUGAACCCUUUUGUCAUGCAGCGUUUUUAAGUUGUUUUUCUAAAAAAAAAAAGAAAUAUAUCUAUCUAUAUAUAUAUAUAUGUAUACAAAAACCCAAGUGCCAAAUGCAGUGUUUUAUGUUUGCUGUUCCUUGGUGUCCUGCUUCCCGGCAGACAGGAGGUUGAGGGGGGUGAUGGGGAGGGUGGAGAAGGGAAAACCCGAAGGCCAGGGAGGUUGGGAAGAGGUGUGAGGAGGUGAAGGCAAAGCAGGGUGGGCGCUGGGGACCUGGGUCACCCCCGAGCACCCCCGGCUUGUGAGGCGUGAGCAGAGCCACCGUGGCAGGAGCCUCCCUCAGGGAGACUCCAGUGUAUUUACAGAGCUGAAAUUCUAUUUAUUCCUUCGCUGACUAUGGACACGGAGGUUUUCUGAUUGUUCAGAGAGAUUAUUUUGGAUAUUUUACCUAUUAACUUGCUGUGGCUGGGAACCAUGAUAAUGUCUGUUAUUAACAACCACCAAAUAAUUCAAUUGUUUUAUCCUUUUGAUGUUAACAAAAAAAAAAAAGAAAAAAUGCUUAUUUUCCAUUGACAGUCUAGAGGUUAAUAACGACUUAGUUGUGUUUGCUGUUUCUUGUUUUGUUUUUUUGAGUAAAAACAACAAAAAAGUGGCUUCAGUUGUGUUGGGGAAGUGCUGCCUGGCUCUGCCUGCCGGUGCUAAGUGCAGGUGGCAGAGCUCCAGGGAAAGAAGCUUAAAAGGGAGGGGGAAAAAAAAAAGCUUGAAUCCUAAAAGAAAUAAAAGUUAUUUAUAGAAAGAAAAAAGAAAAGAAAACAGAAACUCCUCCGACAGUUGCAUGAGUGAAGUCAAAUAUUCAGUAAUAAAGCGGCAGUGCCUUUCUUUUUGUACCCCCGCUGCUGUCCCCUCCCUGUCCUGUCGGAGAUGUCACCAACGUGGGGUCCCGGGGGUCAGGUGGGCAAAUCCCCCCCUGUGCUGCCCCCAGCGCCGCCGGGACCCUCUCCUGGUGCUGUUCCCCGGCCAGCCCAGCACACACAAGUGCCCUUGGGCCCGGUGGAAGGGACACAACCCUGUCCCUUUGGUGUCCCCAUCCCCGGGGACACAACCCUGUCCCUUCAGUGUCCCCAUCCCCUGUCCCUUCCAUGUCCCCAUCCCUGGGGACACAACCCUGUCCCUUGGGGUGUCCCCAUCCCCAGAGAUACAACCCUGUCCCUUCAGUGGGGACAAUCCUGUCCCUUCAGUGUCCCCAUCCCCAGGGAUACAAUCCUGUCCCUUCGGUGGGGACAAUCCUGUCCCUUCGGUGUCCCCAUCUCCAGGGACACAACCCUGUCCCUUCAGUGGGGACAAUCCUGUCCCUUCGGUGUCCCCAUCUCCAGGGACACAACCCUACAAUCCUGUCCCUUCAGUGUCCCCAUCCCCAGGGAUACAAUCCUGUCCCUUCGGUGUCCCCAUCUCCAGGGACACAACCCUACAAUCCUGUCCCUUCAGUGUCCCCAUCCCUGGAGACACAACCCUGUCCCUUCAGUGGGGACACAACCCUGUCCCUUCAGUGUCCCCAUCCCUGGGAAUGCAAACUUGUCCCUUCAGUGUCCCCAUCCCCUGUCCCUUCAGUGUCCCCAUCCUUAGGGACACAACCCUGUCCCUUCCGUGUCCCCAUCCCCUGUCCCUUCCAUGUCCCCAUCCCCGGGGACACCCCGAGCUCGGCUGCGCUGGGGUUGAGCUCAGCUCAGCGAAACCCCCCCGAGGGGUUUAGGGUGGCAGCAUCCAGCAGGGAAAAUCCCAAACUGUGGUGGAAGCUGGGUCAGCACUUAGGGAAGUGAUUUCUGUUGUCACCUUUCUCCAUGUCGGGUUUGGCUUUGGGAAUGUGCCUGGUGGAAAGGGGGUGGCUCCCGCAGACGUCUAUAAUUUGCACACAGCGACGAUAACACUAAAGUUGAUUUUAUACGAGUCAUCAGAGUUUGCAAAGUGAGUUUUAUUUUUUGUAUUCCUUUAUCUUUACUUAAAGGUGAAUGUGUAUUCCUCUGGGAGGAAUAGGAAGAAAAAAAAACAAAAAAGAAAAAUACAUUAAAAAAAACAGGAAUGUUAAUAAUGUUAAACAGAAUACUUCCUCCCUUAUUAAUAUAUAUAACCCUGAUGUAUUUAUGCCUAUUGUAAGCUGACUUUAAAGAGCUUUGACCUCUCUUCUGUUGCAUGCCGUUCCCGGGCAGCCUCUCCUUGUCCAUGCAUGCCUUUUGUCCUGGUUUUUCUGUACAAAGUUAGUGCACAAAAGAACUAUUUUUGCCUAGUUAAUGUUGCCGAGCAAUGCCUAUUUUUUAAAUUUUAAUUUCUUUUUUUGUUGUUUUUUUUGUCAUAUACGGCAAUAGCAUGUUUGUUACAUGUAAAAGCUUCCCGAUAUAAAGAAAUACUAAUGUUUGGAGAUGCCAGUCUUUGCAAGUGUACAGUUUUCCAAUGUUGUUCCCAGUGAAACACCCUCGUGAUUUCCACUUGCUCCCAUGUAUUUAUUACUCAUUUCCUCCCGUGUAACUAGGAACCAUGGCUAUAUUUCAUAUCUGCUCUAUAUUGAAAGUGAAGGGAGAUGAUUAAUACAAGGUUUUGUAACA